GACAGAGGGAGCCCGACUCCCGUGCCUCCGGCAUGAGGAAAGUCCCCCCACCGGCCGGACAGGCGACCGGGCACACGCCCGGAGUCGGAGACGGCUGGCUCUGGAACAGCAACGACACCCCCCGCCCCGAUCGAUGAGACGCGCGAACCGACCCGCGAGGGGAGGGAGUUAACCCGUCGAGAGCCGACGGGCGGGAACGGAUGGAACGGCGAAUCCUCGCCGGUGCAAGUCCGCGCCACAAGGUAGUCCGGCCGCGGCGCGGACGCUCAGCCGAAUGUCGGGACGAACCGAAGGGGGCUUACUCCCCUCAGUC
rnacentral:RNase_P_RNA from 1 species